rnacentral:lncRNA from 10 species
GCCGGGAAGGACCAGCCUGAUGAUCCCAGGGACAUGAGGUUCCCAGUAGAUGGUGCUUCCAUUUGCUGCCUCCAGCUCUCUGCUCAGCCAUCCCAGUGGGGGUACGGAACCGAUUUGAUGAGAUCAUAAGCGAGGGCUUCGCUCCCUGUUUGGAACACAGCCAAGUGCCCCAUAAACCCCACUGGUAUCGUCAUGACUUGGUGAAGGAACAAGUGGGCAUUACAGAGUGGGAGCCACGUGGCAAAGCCCUGGGGCUUGGACCAGCAUUCGGUCAACAGACACACGCUGGAGAGCUGCGGUGUGCCAGGCAGGGAGGCCACCGAGUGCCCAGCUGGGAAGACCCGGAGGUGGGGUGGAGGCUUGUUAGGAGGCUGGCGCAGGUGGCAGAGGCUGCCCGCUCAGAGCUUGGACUCCCUUUGCAGGUGGGGUCCAGGUCUGCUCUUAUCUGGACGUGGCCCGUGGGCCCCAAAGUUGCCAGCAGACUGGAGAGGCCCCUGGGGCCUGGGCCCCUACCUGUUGCCUGCUCGGGGGCUGGCGCUUGCAGCUUCCCUCCACCCUGCCUCCCUCCUUCCUGCACUUCCAUCUUGCAGGGCUCCUCGGAAAAUGCAAUUUGAGUCAAGCCACUUUCAAUUACUAAGAUGCUGUGUUCUGAGCCCACGAGGUAAUAAAGGGCCUGUUUGCCCUCCUGGGAAUGUUGGGGUUUUUCAGGUGCCAAAGAUGAGAGAGAAAGGAAGUGAGGCCAAGAGCUGCUUGGGGGAGUAAACAGCUCCGAUAGACCCCCGUGCCAGGCGUGUGCCCCCUCCCCAGCCUGCAGCCUGCAGGCACCUGUGCAGAGACGGCUCCUCACAUCAGAGCAGCCAGGAGGCAGGGAGAGCCGGAGAGCUGGAGCUGGUAGGGGUGUGUGCAGCCGUGUGCAAAAGGCAGGGUGUGUGCGAGUGUGCAAAUAUGUGAGCGUGAGUUUUGUGUGAGCAAGUGUGUAUCGGUGAGUGUGCCACUGUGAGGGUGUUAUGUAUGUGAGUGUGAGCGUGUGUGUUGUGUGAGUGUGGGAGUGAGUGUGAGUGUGUGAAUGUGAGAGGGUUAGAGGGUGAGCAUGUAAGUGUGGGUGUGAAUUUUGAGUGUCAAUAUGAGAGCAAGUGUGAAUUUUGAGUGUGAUAAUGUGAGCAUGAGUUUUGAGUGUGAGCAUGAGAUGUUAGUGUGAAUUUUGAGUGUCAGUAUCAGAGCAAGUGCAAAUUUUGAGUGUGUGUGAAUUUUGAUUGUGAGUACAUAAGUGUGAGUGAAUUUUGAGUGUGAGCAAGAGAUAGUGUGAAUUUUGAGUGUUAGUAUGAAAGCGAGUGUGAAUUCUGUGUGAUUUUUGAGUGUAAGCAUGGGUGUAGUUCUGUGUGAGCAUGUUAAUGUGAAUUUUGAGUGUAAGCAUGUGAGUUUGCAUUGAGUGUGAGCAUGUGAGAUUUUGUGUGAGCAUGAUGCUAGUGUGAAUUUUGAGUGUGAGCGUGUGAGUGUGCAUUUCGAGUGUGAGCAUGAGAUGUUAGAGUGAAUUUUACGUUUCAGCAUGAGGUGUUAGUGUGAAUGUUGAACAUUAGUAUGAGAGUGUGACUUUUGAGUGUGAGCGUGUGAGUGUGCGUGUGAAUUUUGAGUGAGCUUGUGAGCAUGUGUACAUUAUAAGGGUGAGUAUGAGAUGUUAGUGUGAAUUUUGAGUUUCAGUAUGAAGUGUUAGUGUGAAUUUUGAGUGUUAGUAUGAGAGUGUGAAUUUUGAGUGUGAAUUUUGAGUGUGAGCAUGAGACUGUGUGUGACUGAGUGCACAGGUGUCCGGUGGUGGGUUGAGGAAGCCCAAACCUCCAACCUUCCCCCUGGGAGUGGGGCCGGGGCUCCAGGGCAGGGCUGGGCUGGGCUCACUUCCCUCCUCUGGGAACCGGGCUCAGGGCCCUGGGGCACCUGGGACUCAGUCCCACCCCUGCUCUCCUUUGCCACACCUGGAAGAUUUUCCUGGUUCUGGUGUGUUCCUUUCAUUCCCAGUUCCUGCUCCCAAGUCCUCAUGCUGAAGCCCAGUGCCACAGCGAGGUUAUAGAGGGUGGGGGUGGUCUGUUCCCCAGGCAGCCUCUGGCCGGCUUCCUCCUCUGCGAUUCUCCACCCUCCGCUUCCCUCUGGUCUGGGCCGUUCUGUCAUCACUGAUGUGAAGAGCUCUGCCUCCCCUUCCACUGGCUUCUGCUUUCCACACUGCUGCAGCCUGCCCCCACCAAACCUGCCCGCCUGAGAACCUGGGUGAGGAGGCCUCUCGGACUGGGAGGGCCAGGUGAGGUCGUGCAGGUGAAGCGCCCACAGGUCAGCUGUGCCCGCUGGGACCUCAGCAGCCCUCGCUCCUGUACCCCAGGUGACCAUGAGCACUGGGGCCGGACACCCAAGACCGUCCCAGACUGAGAAGACCAGGACUGUUUUUCUUUUGCACUAGACGCCCACGUCCCAGCACACCCCUCAGGUAGGCCCUAAACUCAGUGACCG